GACGAACGCUGGCGGCGUGCUUAACACAUGCAAGUCGAACGGAAAGGCCCUGCUUGCAGGGUGCUCGAGUGGCGAACGGGUGAGUAACACGUGGGUGAUCUGCCCCUUAUUUUGGGAUAAGCCUGGGAAACUGGGUCUAAUACUGGAUAGGACCAUGCUGUAGGUGGUGUGGUGGAAAGAUUAGUUUCGGUAAGGGAUGAGCUCGCGGCCUACCAGCUUGUUGGUGGGGUAAUGGCCUACCAAGGCGUCGACGGGUAGCCGGCCUGAGAGGGUGGACGGCCACAUUGGGACUGAGAUACGGCCCAGACUCCUACGGGAGGCAGCAGUGGGGAAUAUUGCACAAUGGGCGCAAGCCUGAUGCAGCGACGCCGCGUGGGGGAUGACGGCCUUCGGGUUGUAAACUCCUUUCAGCCAUGACGAAGCCCUUGUGGUGACGGUAGUGGUAGAAGAAGCGCCGGCUAACUACGUG
rnacentral:rRNA from 1 species